rnacentral:rRNA from 1 species
AGUGAACGCUGGCGGUAGGCCUAACACAUGCAAGUCGAACGGCAGCACAGUAAGAGCUUGCUCUUACGGGUGGCGAGUGGCGGACGGGUGAGGAAUACAUCGGAAUCUACUUUUUCUUGGGGGAUAACGUAGGGAAACUUACGCUAAUACCGCAUACGACCUACGGGUGAAAGCAGGGGAGCUUCGGACCUUGCGCGACUGAAUGAGCCGAUGUCGGAUUAGCUAGUUGGCGGGGUAAAGGCCCACCAAGGCGACGAUCCGUAGCUGGUCUGAGAGGAUGAUCAGCCACACUGGAACUGAGACACGGUCCAGACUCCUACGGGAGGCAGCAGUGGGGAAUAUUGGACAAUGGGCGCAAGCCUGAUCCAGCCAUACCGCGUGGGUGAAGAAGGCCUUCGGGUUGUAAAGCCCUUUUGUUGGGAAAGAAAAGCAGCAGGUUAAUACCCCGCUGUUCUGACGGUACCCAAAGAAUAAGCACCGGCUAACUUCGUG